rfam:Felis catus isolate Cinnamon breed Abyssinian chromosome E2, whole genome shotgun sequence.
GCCUGGGUGGCUCAGUCGGUUAAGCGUCCGACUUCAGCUCAGGUCAUGAUCUCACAGUUCGUGGGUUCGAGCCCCGCGUCGGGCU